GACGAACGCUGGCGGCGUGCUUAACACAUGCAAGUCGAACGGAAAGGCCCUGCUUUUGUGGGGUGCUCGAGUGGCGAACGGGUGAGUAACACGUGAGUAACCUGCCCUUGCCUUUGGGAUAACUUCAGGAAACUGGGGCUAAUACCGGAUAGGAGCUCCUGCUGCAUGGUGGGGGUUGGAAAGUUUCGGCGGUUGGGGAUGGACUCGCGGCUUAUCAGCUUGUUGGUGGGGGAUUGGCUUACCAAGGCGUUGACGGGUAGCCGGCCUGAGAGGGUGACCGGCCACAUUGGGACUGAGAGACGGCCCAGACUCCUACGGGAGGCAGCAGUGGGGAAUAUUGCACAAUGGGCGGAAGAGUGAUGCAGCAACGCCGCGUGCGGGAUGACGGCCUUCGGGUUGUAAACCGCUUUCGCCUGUGACGAAGCGUGAGUGACGGUAAUGGGUAAAGAAGCACCGGCUAACUACGUG
rnacentral:rRNA from 1 species